rnacentral:tRNA from 1 species
GGGCGAUUAGCACAGUGGUAGCGCGUCUCCUUCACACGGAGAAGGUCACAGGUUCAAGUCCUGUAUCGCCCA